rnacentral:lncRNA from 1 species
GGUGAGAGAGGGUGAGCCACGGCAGUUUGUACCAUUUGCCACGCUGGUUUCAUCAUGGACGCCGUUUUUAGUUGUAUCACCGCUACACUGGAAACACAUGAGAGAUGUUACACUCCAGUGUGUAGAGAGGAGGAACUAGAGAAGGUGUUGGCUCCCUUAGCCCACUUCAGUCCUCAGGGAAGCUUCUGAAUCUCGUCCCAGUGGAUUGAAGGCUCGAAAUCGGAAAUGAAGCGAGCAAACAGUUUCUCAAAGCCUUCAAACUCCUUCCGUGUGGCGUCCCUGAUUGCAGGAGGUGAGGUGAGCAGCAGGCGGUCUAGUUCCUGGCUAAGCUGGACCCUUGCCUCCACCUUGGUCUGUUGCUUGAAGGCGUCCAUGGAGGGCCGACGCUGUGGUUCUCCCUGGGGUUAGAGAGCCUGGCGAGCAUAAGCAACCGGCGCAGGGAGAGAGACAGUGUGGGAGCAGCUGGCGUGGAGGUGACACAAGCCAUAGGUAACAGUCUGCAGGUCCCGGAGACACAGCUGGUUGUCGUCACACACCACGUGGUACUUGAUGAGAGAGAAGGAAGAAGCCCCUGGUGGAUGGAUGGAUGAUGCCGCCCUCCACCACAGUGCCGGGCGGAACAUUGCCGGCACCUCCACCUGGGCCCUGGAACAACCUGCAAUGCCACACACACUUCAGGUCAGGGGCGGCCGGUACUCCCCAUCACUCUGCAUAGCUCUACACGCCCUCCUGAUCUCCGCAGCCUCCCAGGAAGUGACGCGCUCCACCUCCUCCUGCGGCAGGUCAAGGCGAUACACCAGCAGCGACUG